UGGGAUGAUAGGCCUCCUGAUUUUAUUAGAGCUGAUGUUAUUCAUGAUGUAACUCUGAUGGAGAUUGUACCGAAUAUUUGAACCCACGGCAGCAAGUUUCUUACGCACUCUUUUCUUUACCAGGGUACCGAAGGGGACUGGAAGGUUUUUAAUGAGGCGGCUUGCUUGCUUAAUAUAUUUUAUUUCAAAAAAAAAGAGGUCUACUAGUGAAAAAGUCUAUGCAUUGGUUCAAAUUAAUGGUCAAAAUUAUGGCUCACCACGUUAAUUUCGUUUCUAUUUCCCAGACUCGCUCGUACCCAACAUUAAUUGAUGUAAUUACCCCCAAGAGAUGGUGUUACAUCGCCCUUUGGCGUCCAGGCCCCCAAUCCUCUCCUUGCGCCCUCCUCAAUCGAUUCCGGCCAGCUCCGGCACCACCUUCACCUUCUCCACCGAACACAUUGCUUAGAAUCGUCGCUUUGGAGCACCUCCCGACGAUUCCUACCUAACUCCGGCGCUCGAUCCCGACUACCCAACUCCCGAUGCAGCUCGCCGCCCCCCGUGAACGGGCCACCGGCCCCGCGCGCCGGCAGUGACGCCGCCCUGGUGCCUCACCUCUGCAUCCCUCCUUCGGUGGCCAAGAGCAUUUCGACGCGACGGUGAAGCUCGGUGACGGCCGCGUCCGGCUGGCGGAGCGGUUGUGGCAGCAGUCCGCGGGUGCGCAGGGCUGGCGGCGGGGAGGGGUUGGGGACGUGAUGCUGGUCGCCCCGAGAUGCUCCCGGCGGCCACGACCCCUACCUCCUGCCGCCUGCCAUCGCUCCAACCUUCCGUUGGCGGCUACCUCCCCUCCUGCCGGCGGUGGUUGCUCGUACUGCCUCUCCCAAAUGGCGGCACGGUGAUGCUAGCCCUACAAGACACCGUGUUGCAUAGCCUCACUGUCCUCCAAGGCAGCAGAAGGUGGAGAUAUGGGCUAGUGAUAAAAUACAACAAGACGAUCGUACAUUCAUAGGAAAGUGGGAUGUACAAGACAUUAUUGUGUCAUCUCUACAGCUUUGUGGACCUGAAAAUUCAAGGAGCUUGGAAGAGGCACCAAGACACAUGAAACGACAGUUCCCAAGUCCUAUCCGCUGUGAAGAAGGUGAUGCUAAGCUGGGCAAAGACGGCACGGACUGUGGCGCAGGGUGGUGCUGCGCAAAGUUGCUCAACGUCGCCGCCGGUCCAGCAACUCCGACUUUGGUGCUGCGGAGGUUGAGGACGACCACCAACAAGGGCCCACCAAGUCCAAGAACGAGGCAGUUUCACCACCGGCAACAGCACCACAUCGAGUUGAUGUGGGAGGGAAAGAGAGUGGGAGGACCUGUCAGCUUGCCGGUGGGUGGUGACUACAUGGAGCAUUGAGAAGUGGGAUGUGUAGCUGCUGGUACGGCUGGACGUCGGGGGCGAGCUUUUGGCUCAGCCCGAGUUUUUCGCAGCUCGCCGCUGCUGGAGAAGUUUACCCACCUGCCAGUGACACACACAUGCUCAGCUCGCGAGUUGCUCCGAGCUGCACCGAGCUUUGCACAAGCUCAGGCCGAGCCCCUUUUUCCGGCUUGUGAGACAAACGAGCCAGCUCGAGCUGAGCUAUUUGGUAGCGAGCUAAAGUGCAGCUCGCACCGAGCCCAGCCCGAGCUGGCUCGUGUCCAGCCUUAGCUGCUGGCAGGGCCAUUGCAACUGAGAAGUGAGAAGUAUCUAGCUGGAUUUAGCAGCACCAAGUUCAAGGUUAUUGGAUCAUUGUGCUCUACCUGUAUGAAGGCAGGCCUAAAUGGCUUAGAUCCUUUUCACUCAUGGAAUUGACAUGGUAGUAUGUCAUGAAGUGGAGGUGGAACAUGUCGUCAUCUACUCAUUUGCACCUCAAGUUUAUUAUUACCAAGACACUUGUAUUGUGUAUGAAAGAGCGGAGAUGCUUGUGAACUGUAUGCUAGGUCACUGAUUUCAUUCACAUCACGACAGCAGAUUAUUAUCAUGGAUAAGAGUAUCCUAAAUAGUAAUGUUCUCUUCUUGGUCGCUGAUGCGGUAUAGGCUGGUUUUGCUGUUUCUGUCGCUGGUGGCAGCCUAUGUUGCUCGGUGAACGCCGAAUAAGAGGCCACAUUUGGACUGAAACACUCAAGCACCACACCGGCUUGAGCAUGCUACA